UUUCAGACUCUGUAUCCAGAAGGUCUACACCUAAAAUUUUGUUUUGAAAACUGAGAUUCUCCUGUAAGAACUCAACUCCAGGCAUUGGAGCUUUAAGAAAAACACCAUAUAUCAUGGGCCUUGUGAUAAAAGCAUGGUAGUUGGCAAAACCUCAGUUCAUUCACGAAAGAAGGCCUGACUGUGUUCAACUGUAUAAACUUAUAGCUCAGUGAGUAGUCACUCCCACAUUUAAAACAUGCUACCUAUCCUUACAAUCCCCUCUAUGCAAUAAAGGUGAGAAAGCAAAGGGAAGUGUCUUUUAAUAUCUGAAUAGAGGACAGAGGUUGGACACAUUCACAGAUUCUAAAAAGUAAGUUCUGGUAUUUACAAGAGAAACGGGCAGAAAACAUUUAAAGUAUCAGAUUUUAAACCAAGGUAGGAUUAAUACCAAAAAAUCUAUUAUUUUAUUCCUAAAGCAGUUUAAUUAAAUUGCAAAGGAAAGACCUGUUUGUUCAACUACCUUAGCUAGAUAAUUACAAGUAAAUAUAUAUUUGCUGAGGGUAAGAUUGCCCUUGACACCAAUAAGCUUUGAUUCAGGCCCUAGAAGAGCUGACUUAUGCUGCCUAUAUCCUGCAUUACCACUGAUUCUACCUUCAUGCCUUUAAUCCUGUGUGAUUUAUAAAGGUUGUAAUAAAAAAAUUGUAUUUUAAAAUCAGGGAUGUCUGCCAUAACAUUUGACAUGUUUUAUAAUUAAUUUUAAAAGGGGGGCAGGGAUUGUUCAUACGUAUGUUCAGUUCUAGUUAAUGUACUUUUUUAAACCAAACUUUCCCUGAUUUUGUCCCACUUGCUUUUUUUUUUUUUGUUACUAUCCACAGCUUAGUAAGUAUUCCGCAGCCCCUAUUUUAAAAUGACAGUAUUGUACAGAACUAGUCCCAAGCCUCUUAGCAGCAAAUGUAAGCUGUCAUUUUUGGAAAUCAUAAAUAGUGCCAUCCUAAACAUAGGGAAAUAUGCCCUCUCGAUAAGGUGGCUGAGUUGAUAAUAGUACAGUAAAAAUUCCUGAUCCUCCAGUCGGCAUAUCUUGCACCCUCCACCAGAAUAUGCUGGCAAUUUUGAAAGUCACCACACAAUUAAAACUAGUGCAGUGCUUCAGACCAUAUUUUGACUUUCAUGCUGCAUGUUUGCUGUACAUGGUGCUUGGAAUAUCUCCAAAACUUUCUGUCCCUGCUCUUACAAAGUUGGCUUGUACUUGUACCUAGAGAGCAAGGUAAUUAAAACCAUGCAAUCUGUUGUUCACAUACCUGAAAUUCACUGGCUAUCAAUAAGUACCAGUAUAAUAAUGUUUCCACCAACCAACCAUGGCAUCAGGAUAAUGAUGAUGAGGAUGAUUACCUGCACUGAUGUCCUCUGACUGACCUGGGGAAAGCAUAAGAAUUAUCAGAGGCUGCUUACUAGCCUUUAAUUUUAUGUCACAUAGAGCAAUACUAGCUGACCCUGACACUCUGAGAACAGGUGUAGGAUAAAAAGUGCUAAAAUGUAAUCAGGCUAGGAAAGGAACCUCCUCCAUUUGGUAUUACAUCCAGUUUCAGUUACCUAAGAAAAGUCCUGUUCCAUCCAGAACAUAACACUUUUUGAAUUACAAAAUGAUGGGGUGUAUGCCACACACUAGCCCCAAGAGGGCUGAAUUAUGUCAAGUGGGCCCAAUCAGCCAAUUAGGCUGCCAAUGGGAGAGAGCUAAGCUGCAGGAAGCUAAUUAGAAGAAGGUUCACCUGUGAGGGAGCAGGUGGGGUUUCUAUAAAGCAAGGAGGCAGGCGCCAAACAGGAAACUUACAGUUUUUCUUUCUGAGGUAAGGGAGAAGAAGUCUAGUAAGAUAGAAUCCAGGGACAAAAGCAGUAAGUGUUGAAGAUGUAGACUUUAAUUAUUGCCUAUAAGGCCCUGGACUGGAACCCAGAGUAGAGGGUGGACCCUGAUUGCCCCUAAUGACCAUGGCAGAAUGGUACUGUUUGAGGGUAGUGGACAAGAAGACUACCUGGAGAAAUGCUGAAAAAUUAUUUCAGAAGAGGAACUUCCUUAAUGACCUGGGCAGAGGGCUAAGUCAUGAAGAGUGAGCAGCAGUUCCUGGAGCAAGAGAGGGAUUGCAGGCAAAGAUGGAGAGAGUGAUGGAGCACAGCUGAAGGAAGGGGCAUUGACCAUGCAGAGCUAGUCCCCAGAAAGACCAGAAGAAAACACCACUUCUGGGAAGCUGGGUCACAAUCCUGGUGGAUGGGUCUUGCAAGAAGGCACGAAUGGGAUGUCCUGUAGAACACCUUGGGGGCUGCAGAAAGAGAUGUAGGUGGAACUCCUCUUCUGACCCGCUAUUCAGACCUCUACCCCAGCACUGUGAUAGAGGGAACUGUACUGUUUUAGAUGCUGUUUGUCUGGUGAGACUUGAGGCCUGACUACUUGUGGCCGUUUAAGUUCCCUUCUGCAAAAAUAGGGCCAAAAAUUAAUUUGGCGAACUACCCUUGCAGCGUAAGGGCUUAUCUAUCUGGUGCAUUAGUCUACACUAAAGGGUAUAAAUUCUCAUACACAUUAGCGUGUCUUGUCCUAACUGACCUUUAUGGACCGUGCUGGCCUGCACUAAAGAUUCCCUAGUGUGUAUUAAUGUGGAACAGUUUGAAACCUCACUAGUGCAGACUACAGCACCAUGUAGACUAGCCCAGAGGAUAUAGUAUUCCUUUUACUUCAGUAAUCUUUCUUUUCCUUCUUCAAUAAUAAACUCUUCACACACACACUCACAAACAUAAGCAAAUGAAUCAAGCAAUUUCUUCUACAGGCUGGAAAGGAAGAAAUGGAGGGGAGGGGUGGUCCUGUUUCUAUUUUUAAAUACUUUAGAGACAUUCAGAUGCCACAGUGAUGGAGACCAGACAAAUACCUAGAUAUAAAAUAUUACAUAUUAAGUACAUCUGGUCUCUCUCUUAUCUCAAGGGUUAUAGUAACAGUUCCCAGUGCGAACAGCAGCUAUCAAAACAACAGGCAUAUUUUCCUGGAAUUGAUUACAUGAAAUAUUAAUCUAGGUAAUGUCUCAUCCAUAUGUUGUCCUCUGUCAUAGAACUUCUGCUGUAGGGUACUGCUGUUCUGCAUGUAGAUUGUGGUUAGCUUAUGUGAAACCUGACAGACAAAAAGACUAUGGGCAGGGAGGACUCGUCGUCAAAUGCUGGUAAUGUUUGAUUUCUUCAGAAUGCACACCCAUAAUCAUCAUUCACCACUCCAUAGCAGAAUAGUAUUCUGAACAAUUUAGCUUUCUUAUGAGCCCAUAAUGCCCCACUGCAUCAUAUGCAGCACUUAAAGCUGGCAGCCCAUGCUUUUCCUGUCUUUAAAGGCAUCUUCAUUGUUUUGCUAAGAGGUGGAUUGCCUUAAUCAUAAGCUAUUGACAACAAGAAAAUUUGCCGGCUUAUAAAGAUUUUGCCGGCUUUAUAAAACUGGG